GCUAUUUCUUUGGGCCGCUCCCGCCCAAAUCGGAGUCAAAUUGGAGCUGUAGCCGCCGGCCUACACCAGAGCCACAGCCAUGCAGGAUCCGAGCCGCAUCUGCAACCUACACCACAGCUCACGGCAACGCUGGAUCCUUAACCCACUGAGCAAGGGCAGGGAUCAAACCUGCAACCUCAUGGUUCCUAGUCGGAUUCCUUAACCACUGCGCCAUGACAGGAACUCCGAUAACAGAUAUUUUCUUUUCCUCUUCAUAGUUUUCCGUAUCUGUCCUUUAAAAUAUUCUUAAAUGAUCAUUUGUUGCACUUACAACUAAUUAGAAGAAAAAAGAAACGUUAUAUCACCCCCUCCUCCCUAUUUCUCAAUAUAUCUAUGAGACACAAUGAGAAAGUGCUCAUGGAAACUCUUGGAGAAAAGGCCAAGCACAAUUUGAAUGUUUAUUAUCACUGUCCUGACAACAGGUCCUGUCUGAUGACUUUCUGACAUUAUCUGAGCAGAAAGCUAGAGGCGCACAGAAUAAACUGGGAGGUGACGUGGCCACAGGGGUGAGGCAGGUGAUGAUAUAGAUGGUCCAGACUCUACCUCAAGGCUUCUCAACUCUAGGUGAAUCUAGUAUCACUUAGAGAGCAUUAAAACUGCAGAGCGUGUGAAUCAGAAUUUCCAAGUGCAAGGCCAGUUUCCCAAAAGCCCCUCAGUGAAUUCCAACAUAAGGCCAGAUUGAGAAUUUCUCUCCUACAAACAGGAAAACCCACGUACUUGAAACUACUGUUUUAUUGCUUACUGGGGGAGAGGGACUGGGGUAAGGGGGCUGGGUCAAGCUCUGAGAGAGAUCCCCUCGGGUCUGAAUGUCCUGUAUGCAAUCAGGCCUUUGUCUAGAAAUGUGGGUUAUAAUCUCACUCUGACAUUUUCCAUUGGGUGGAGCUGGGAAAACUAGAGUAUGACUCCCCCCAGAAACUGGUCUGGUUCUUUUUUUGAGAAAAUUUCCUAGUCCAUGUGGUAAAGAUAACAAUGACAAACAUUCCUAGAGCAGAUCACAGCUAUCACAGCAGUUUCCGGGCAUUAACUCACUGGAGACGUGUAAUUACUUUUUUUUUUUUUUUUUUCAAUUGGUGGAUAUUUAUUCCAAUAUUUCCCCAUUGAAUAGCUUUAGUGAGGUAUAAUUGAUUUGCAAUAAACUUAACAUGUUUAAAAGUGUACUAUUUGAAUUUUAUAUGAGGGGACAUUGACAGUACUGGUCUGUCUCUUUUCAUUCACCAUAACCAGCUGGAGAUUCACCCACAGCGUUGCUUACUGGUAUCCCAUUUUACGGCUAUAUUACAAUUCGUUUACUCAUUCUCUUAUAGUCAUUUCCAGUCUGGGGCUAUACACACAGAGCAGCUGUAAACAGUCACGUGCAAGUCCAUGUAAGGAUGCAAGCUUUCACUUCUUUGGGGGAAAUACCUAGCAGUGGAAUAGCUGUAUCACAUGGUAAAUGAAUGUUUAAUUUUUUACAAAACCAUCAAACUAUUGACCCAUUCCCACUGGAAGUGUGUAUAGUUCCAAUUCCUCCAACUCUUCAUCAACAAUUGGUUUGGCCAGACUUUUUAAUUUUAUCUAUUCUUAAAGGUAUGCAGUGAUACCUCAUUAUGGUUCCUUCCUUAAAUGACUAAUGAUGAACUUCGACUCUGUCUUCACAUGAGAUGGAUAGACACACACUCAUAUCUCCAAAAUAAAUUAUAAACCUAAAUAUAAAAACAAAAGUUAUAAAACUUCUAGAAGAAAAGUUGCAAAACAUAUUUGUAUAUUUUUCAGCUGCAAUACAUAUUCAGUUGCAAUCUUAGGUAGGCAAAGAUUUCCUUAAUAGGAAGGACACAAAGGGAAAAAUAAUAAUAUUUAUAAAAUAAACUGAACUUUUUCAAAACUAAAAUCUUUCACUUCUCUAAAGAUACUAUUAAGAGAAUGAAAAGGCGAGUACAGCCUGGGAGAGAUUUUUGUAAAGCAUAUAUCUGAUAAAAGACUUGUAUCUAGAUUACAUGGAGAACUCUCAAAACUCAAUACAAGAAAACAAAUGAUUCAUUUUUUUAAGGGGUGAAAGGUUUGAGAGGAGGAUAUAUAGAUGCCAAAUAACCCCCUGCAAAUACAUCCAAUAUCACUGUCCUAGUAAUCACUUUAAGAUAAGCCAGGUAAGCAUUCUCAUCAUCAUUAUCAUCAUCACCAUCGGGGUUUUGCAGAUGAGGCAACAGAGGCUCAAAGAAAUCACAUGACUUAAGAUGAUACAACUAGGAAGUAGAAAGUCUGGACUAGAGUCUCUGACUCCAGCCCGGUGUCUUUCCAUGACACAGCCAGUAGUUCCGAGAGCCAGCAGGGCUUCUAGGACAGCAUCCCCCCCUGGGAAGAUCUGGGCUGAGAGGAACUGGGCACGCACCGUCGGCACCGAGACAGCAACACACAACACGGAGGAGGUAAGAAGACAGGACAAACCAGGGCUGGAGCCCUCUGAACCCAAGGAGCACUCAGACCUUAACAGACUGGGAGAUCACCAAGCAGGUGAACAGUCAAAGCUAGAGAGCAUCACGUGUGCCAGAGGCCAGUGCAAGGUAGGGGUCAGCUCCCAGGCAGGUAAUUCACACAGCAGACUUAAGACUCAGUGCUACCCGUGAUGGGUAGCUGUGACAGAGAGGCGAGCUGCGGAGCCAUCCUGAAAAGACGAGUACAUCACCAUGACCAGAAUAGAAUCUGCCAGGCACAAGCCCUGAUACAGAGAUAAGAAGGAAGGUGCCCUGCUUGCCCACUGAACACACCCCCAGGGACCCAGAUGGGGCAGGAAUUGCAGGGUGUGGGAUUGAUCUAAACAGAGCACUCCAGGGAGGGGACAUGCAGUUGCUCUUGGAGACUGACUGAGACAUAAAAAGUCACUGGUAGGAGUUAUGGGUCAAAUGUGAUUCAUUUUGGCUUCUUUAAUUUCAGUUCUCAACUUCUGUUUUAAUUGUACCUUGAUUAAAUGGUCUCGAAAUGAAUAACUGAAUUCUUUUUAAUAUUACUCAUCUACAUGCCUUUAAUCAUGUCGUUGAUCUUACUAAUCAGCAGUCUCAAUCCUGUGCCUGAUGUUGUUGUCUGACAGAUAUUGUGAUAAGUCCGGAGCCAACAGAAGGCCCUACACCUGCAACAGAAAGCACUCUUAACCAUUCUUCUAUAAGAAGGUCACCAUUGCUUGUCAAGACAGAAAUGCAAGGGACGGGUGGGCCACAGUGGAGGGGGUUUUGAAAAUGCAAUGUCCCAAAUUAAACAUACCAGGUGCAGUGCGUAUUUCAAAUUUGCAUUGUCUCCAAUUUCCAUUUACGUGCAGUUAAAAGGUCAUUCAAUCUGGUGUACAGAUUCUGUUAGUUACUAUUAAAUACAAGCGGCCUAUGACUGGGCCUUUUGUCUCAACGAUUUACUAUGCCUUACAGUGAUUUUUUUUUAAAUUAUUUUAACUUUUAAUUUUCACUUUUAAUUUUACCCUAAAGGUCAGGCUUUUGAUACAGCAGCUUUAAGGCCAACGAUUGCAUGGAAAUGCAAAGAACCCCUUAAUAGACCGUUACUGGGUGCUGAGUUUCAGAAUGCGUCAUCAAAGUCAUCUAUAUCUCUGGCUAGGAGGCCUCCCAAGCCCCGCCACACCAUCCACACCAUCCACACAUUCAAGCUACCUAUCACAGUCCUGCCCCAGGCCUGCGUGCAAGGCCAAGACACAGUCAGAGGCACGUCACAGACCAGAGGGAGAGUCACAAAGGUUUCCAGUGACGCUCGGGGCUGUCGCAGUCCAGGCCGGGGCACCAAGAAAAAUAACCACGUGCACAAGCCCAAGGCAGUCCUCUGCAAACGACCCAGCAAAGAGCCUUGGGCUUGUAGGCGUUGGACCUGGAGCUGGGUUGUGAAUGAGGCCAGACCCAGCCCUGAACCAGCACCUCCUCCCUGUCCGGGCCCAGAUCCGACAUCAUCUCCUUUGUGGUCAUUUCCGCUUCAUUCCAGGACCCGCUUUCCUCAGGCUGGGCACUUCUGAGAGGUCAGGAGUUCUGUCUCUUUAGCCCCUAGUAGGAGGUAUCACAAAACCUUCCCCAGCUCCCCCAGCUCCUGGAAAGAUAUAAGUUCCAUGGUAGAACAAGAAUGCCUGCAAGCGCCAUGGCGAAUAAAAAGGCUCCCUCAGGGGAGGCCCAUAACCUAAAAAUAGCCAGCUGCCCUUAUCAAAGGCUUGGAGCUCUCAUGUGAACUUCGGCCUCAUUCCCCAAACUCCAGUUAAGCAAACAUCCUGGAGGUCGUCUGCUGCUGCGUUUUCCACAGAGCCAUAAAAGUUACAGCCGUGGAGCCCUGGCUGGGACCUCUGAGAUUGUCUCUGCCACCUUCUGCGCGAUCGCAGAUGAGGAUCAGUGAUGACAACGGGGUGUAUCUGCAUAGACCCUGUCCAAAGAACCACGGUAAUGCCUCCUUUAAUCCCCCAAUGGCCCAUCAGACUUGGUACUUUAUGCUCCAUCUCACACACGAGGCUCUAAGAGUGGCUGAGAAAUGUGUCUGAUGUCACGCACUGAGGAAGUGGCAGUGCCCAGAUCUCCACAUUCGUCCCUUGAGCUCUGAGCCACUGCAGCCUAUUGGCUCCUUCUCCCGCUAACGAGCCUCCAGGAACUUCCACAACUCCAGAAUCCCAGUGGGACCCUCUCUGGGCUGAAGCUUUUCACCCGCAUACAGGGCAAAUCACAUGCAGUCCCAGAGAAGGUUGCAUUUACCUCCGUUCCAAGCCCAACACAACUGCUACUUCUUAAUGCUUGCGAAAAAUCAUAAACUGCUAGCAUUGCAGAGGGCUUCUGAGAACAUUAGGCCCAAACCUUCAUUAUGAAAAUGAGGACUCAGAGUCCUGU
ensembl:lncRNA